GGUAUGCCUACCAGCUGCCUCUGUCGCGUGCCAUCCUUACCACCCUUGUCUAUGAAUACCCUUUGUUAUCCCUCGGCUAGGUUCUAGCAAUCUAGCCGGCUGGGACCUUACCAACUCUUGUAAUAUGCAUUUUAUUUUCUGAUACCUUUUAAAAAGUAACAACUUUCAACAAUGGAUCUCUUGGUUCUGGCAUCGAUGAAGAACGCAGCGAAAUGCGAUAAGUAGUGUGAAUUGCAGACUUUAGUGAAUCAUCGAAUCUUUGAACGCACAUUGCGCCCCUUGGUAUUCCAUUGGGCAUGCCUGUUCGAGCGUCAUUUACACCUUCAAGCUCUGCUUGGUGUUGGGCGUCUGUUCGUACGUUGUGUGCGGACUCGCCUUAAAAGUAUUGGCAGCGGCUCCUGUCAGCUUCUCGCGCAGCACUUGCGCUUAUAGAAGUAUUGGCUAGGGCUAGCAUCCACUAAGAACCCCCCCAAGUUUGACCUCGAAUCAGGUAGGGAUACCCGCUGAACUUAAGCAUAUCAAUAA
rnacentral:misc_RNA from 1 species